UCCUUUCGGGGAGUACAUCAGCGGCAGACGGGUGAGUAACACGUAGGUGAUCUACCCCAGAGACGGGGAUAACGGGCGGAAACGCUCGCUAAUACCGGAUGACCUUACCGAGUCAAAUUGGUAAGGAAAGGCUCCGGCGCUCUGGGAGGAGCCUGCGGCCCAUCAGCUAGUUGGCGGGAUAAAGGCCCACCAAGGCGAAGACGGGUAGGGGGUGUGAGAGCAUGGCCCCCCACAAUGGGACUGAAACACGGCCCAUACUCCUACGGGAGGCAGCAGCAGGGAAUAUUGCACAAUGGACGGAAGUCUGAUGCAGCGACGCCGCGUGGAUGAUGAAGGCCCUCGGGUUGUGAAAUCCUUUACAAGGGGACGAGGAAGGACGGUACCCUUGGAACAAGUGUCGGCUAGCUACGUGCCAGCUGCCGCGGUAAGACGUAGGACACGGGCGUUAUCCGGAUUUACUGGGCGUAAAGCGUCUGCAGGCGGACGGGUCCGUUGGGCGUGCAGGCUCCGGGCUCGACCCGGAGAGGUCGUUCAAUACUGCGUGUCUAGAGGGUGUCAGAGGGGAGUGGAAUGUCCGGAGUAGCGGUAAAAUGCGCAGAU
rnacentral:rRNA from 1 species